ensembl:lncRNA
AAUUGGGGCAUUAUGGAGAAAUCCCAAGGGGUAUUUGUGAAAGGAAAUGUUCCAGACCUCCAAAUGGAUUUAGGUGGGCGAUUAAAGACUGGAGGAGCUGCUGUUUUUAAGGCCAAAAAGCACCCUCUGACAUCCCACACGGCCAGAAUCUGGGUCGACAAGUCUGAUUAGAUCAUGACCUGUCCUCUGGAAGGGUUCUGAGGCUGAACGCUUUGAUUAGAGUCACAUGAUUAGAGGUGCUUUGAAGGCCCAGCGGUGACUACACGUGCCUUUGAUCCCAGCAGGCUGGGGCAGGCAGAUCUGUGAGUUGGAGGCCAGCCUGGUCUCCUUGUGUGAGUUCCUUGACAGCCAGAGCUACAUGGAGGAAUCCGGCCUUUAAAAAAUAAAUAAAAAUAAAAUAAAAUAAAAAAACACAAGACUUUGAGGAGUUCUGCUGAGG